rnacentral:tmRNA from 2 species
GGGGGUGUUCAGGUUUCGACUAGGUCGGUAGAAUGCAGAUGGCGUGUCGAGGAUGAUCGUUGGCCUCGUAAAUCAUCGAUUAACAAAUAAAUGCAAAAACUACAGACUUUGGGGCAGCAAUGCCUCUCGCUGCUUAAUACUUAAGUAGCACUGUAAAUUGUAUGCCAUAUAGCAGUAAGGUAUACUCUUAAUACUGCUUAGGUUUCAGCUUCUAUCUUUCGGGUUGAAACUGAAAGCUUAGGAAGAGUAGUCUGAAAGAAGCCUGUUUGCCGGCAAAUCCGGAGGACGAUAAACACUAAAGACAAGAUACACAUGUAGAUGUCUGCAGAAAGCUUAUUUAGGACGGGGGUUCGAUUCCCCCCACCUCCACUU